AUGAGGGAUUCACGCCCAUGAUCCAAACACCUCCCACCAUGCUUUACCUUCAACACUGGGGAUUAUAUUUGACCAUGAUAUAUGGAGGGGACAGACAUACAAACUGUAUCAAAGGCAUAGCAUGGGUUCUGUGAGAGGAGGGUGAAAACACAAAGAUGACAUCGCCACUGACCUCAGGGAGUGCUCAGUAGACUGAGGGAGACAAGUACAUAUUUUCCUGAAGGAGGGCACUGGAGUGAUGGCAUGUUUAGAGUGUGGAAGUAGAGCAGUUACAGAGAGACAGCCCAGCAGGGUGCUUGCUCAAGGACUGGGCCAGCAACUCCCCACUGCAUGUGAUGUAUCUGAGGAAAGUCAUUAAAAUAGGCAAUGGUCACUUUCCAUCAAGACCCUGGUGUGGUCCAUGGAGGCAGGAUUAUCAAUCUCAUUUUGGCAUUUCGGAGACCUCUCAGGGUUUGGAUAUGGAAGAAGACAACCAGCAAUGAUUAUGUAUUUCAGAGAUGUGCGUGAGCCCCAAUUUCUUGCCACUUGGGAGGUCAGUGCUGAGGGCCUUGCUGUCUUUCCAUGACACAUAGGAUGCCAAUUUCUUUCUGGACAGAGAGUAUUUGGUUGGUUAAAGUUAAAAUCUGAAUUUUGUUUUGAGAUAAAUUCCAAAAAUAUUAGCUUUAUUCAAAUUGACUUUCACUUUAUCUUUCUGAAUUUUCAAGGUCCAAAAGCAUUGCUUAGUAAUUCUGUUUCUAAACUCACAUUGCAGCACUGGGCAUGAUCUGUCCAAGGCAGAGACCAUAAGAUAGUCUUGUCUGGAAAACAUACAAGUAGGUAUCUCAACAAAUGAUACUCAUGUAUUCUUGUUCUUAUGAGUAAAUCAUUGGCAGUGAGUGUGAUUUUUUUUUUUUUUUUUUUAAUGGAAGGAUAAACACACACCCUCUAUUGGGAUCAGGUUUUGUGCCUGUACUUCUUCUGCCUACUGUAUCAUAGGAGAUUAGAAUCCCAGCUGCUGGCUGCGGCUGAAGUUCUCUGAUGGCUCGCACAUGGUGGACCAGCCCUGUUCUCCUAUGUGUUUCUCUGCUGCUGACCUGUGGCUUUGCCGAGGCAGGGAAGCUGCUGGUAGUGCCCAUGGAUGGGAGCCACUGGUUCACCAUGCAGUCGGUGGUGGAGAAACUUAUCCUCAGGGGGCAUGAGGUGGUUGUAGUCAUGCCAGAGGUGAGUUGGCAACUGGGAAGAUCACUGAAUUGCACAGUGAAGAGUUAUUAAACCUCAUACACUCUGGAGGAUCUGGACCGGGAAUUCAUGGCUUUCGCCCAUGCUCAAUGGAAAGCACAAGUACAAAGUUUCUUUUCUCUAUUUCUGAGUUCAUCCAACGGUUUUUUUGAUUUAUUUUUUUUCGCAUUGCAGGAGUUUGUUUAAUGACCAAAAAUUGGUAGAAUACUUAGAGUUCUUUUGAUGCAGUGUUUCUGGAUCCUUUUGAUGCCUGUGGCUUAAUUGUUGCCAAAUAUUUCUCCCUCCCCUCUGUGGUCUUUGCCAGGGGAAUAGCUUGCCACUAUCUUGAAGAAGGUGCGCAGUGCCCUGCUCCUCUUUCCUAUGUCCCCAGAAUUCUCUUAGGGUUCUCAGAUGCCAUGACUUUCAAGGAGAGAGUAUGGAACCAUAUCAUGCACUUGGAGGAACAUUUAUUUUGCAAGUAUUUUUUCAAAAAUGCCCUAGAAAUCGCCUCUGAAAUUCUCCAAACACCUGUCACAGAAUAUGAUCUCUACAGCCACACAUCAAUUUGGUUGUUGCGAACGGACUUUGUUUUGGACUAUCCCAAACCCGUGAUGCCCAACAUGGUCUUCAUUGGUGGUAUCAACUGCCAUCAGGGAAAGCCAGUGCCUAUGAUCAGUAGAAUGGAGUUGAGAAUCCAGAAAUAAACCCAUACAUCCGUGGCCAAUUAGUUUUUACUGUGGUGCCGAGACUGUUGAAAUGGGAA